UCGAGGGGUAUAGUAGCAAUACUUAGAGACCGGCGCACGGGUGAGUAACGCGUAUGCAACCUGCCCUUUACUGGAGGAUAGCCCGUAGAAAUGCGGAUUAAUACCCCAUAGUAAUGUUGGAUCGCAUGAUCUGGCAUUUAAAGUUUCGGCGGUAAAGGAUGGGCAUGCGUGACAUUAGCUAGUUGGAGAGGUAACGGCUCACCAAGGCUUCGAUGUCUAGGGGUUCUGAGAGGAAGAUCCCCCACACUGGUACUGAGACACGGACCAGACUCCUACGGGAGGCAGCAGUGAGGAAUAUUGGUCAAUGGGCGAGAGCCUGAACCAGCCAUCCCGCGUGCAGGAAGAAUGCCCUAUGGGUUGUAAACUGCUUUUUCGCAUGAAGAACACCCCUGACGUGUCAGGGGCUGACGGUAAUGCGUGAAUAAGCACCGGCUAACUCCGUGCCAGCAGCCGCGGUAAUACGGAGGGUGCAAGCGUUAUCCGGAUUUAUUGGGUUUAAAGGGUGCGUAGGCGGCUAUUUAAGUCAGUGGUGAAAUCCUGCAGCUUAACUGUAGAACAGCCAUUGAAACUGAAUAGCUUGAGUGAUCUUGAGGUAGGCGGAAUGUGUAGUGUAGCGGUGAAAUGCUUAGAUAUUACACAGAACACCGAUUGCGAAGGCAGCUUACUAAGGAUUUACUGACGCUGAUGCACGAAAGCGUGGGGAUCAAACAGGAUUAGAUACCCUGGUAGUCCACGCCGUANACGAUGAUAACUCGCUGUUGGCGAUNCACAGUCAGCGGCUU
rnacentral:rRNA from 1 species